GGCGGGUCUCAGCUUCCACCGUGACCCCAGAAGAGGAAAGAACAGGCUGCCCUCUCUUGACCUUGCAGAGAGGGCUUGGGAACCUUUAGUCUAAAUGUGAAAGUCCCACGGAGAAAAGGAGCUGCAGAGAUGGUGGGAAAACAACGACCAUUCUAAGUGCGGCCAGAGGCUCAUGAAUCACAUCAAGGGCUGCGUUGUCUGCGCCUCUCCCAAGGAAGACGAGUGACGUUUAGCAGCCACCGGAUGGAGCUACUUGACUGUGAGAUAUUUUCUAUGAUGUCGUUUCUAAAGAAGAGAAAGACGAACUUGGAGUGACCCUGUAUCUCCAGCCCAUAGAAUUCCCGGCCCAAUUCAAGCCCAGACGGGUGGCAAAAAGCAGUUCAACAUUCCAUGGAAGGGACACCGGCUUUUAGAGAGGAAAAGCAGUCUUGAAACCAGUGCAUUCAGAGACAUGUAAAAGAGCCCCCCUUCCCCAGCCUUACUUUUUGCCCUGUGAUGCUCAGCCAAUACACACUGGUGGGAUCCUGCCCCCGUGGUCCAGCGUCAUGGCUGUCACUGUGGAAGCUGCUCCUGAUUGGUCCAGAGCAUCUCAGGGUCAUGAGAAGAGCAGAGUUCGUGCAUCCAGGGAAGCCCAGAUACUAACUCUGUGAUGAGGGCUGGUCAGGCCAUCUCCCUGAAAUUUUAGUUCCUUUACACAAUUUAUUCCCUUGCCUUUAUAAUGUUUUUAUUAUGAAUAAAUGUUAUUAUAUACAAUGUUCCUAGCAUUUCCCCCUUCUUUCCUCACCUGUUCUGUAUAACCCAGAUCCAAGGCCAGCGCCUCUUCUACCCAGGCUGAAAACAGUCUCUUCUUUUUAAAACCCCUUCCCACCCACAUUUUUUUCCUGAGUCUUUUAAGGGCAGACUGUUGCCUGUGUUUGUAACUAAUUACAUACAAAGUUAUCUCUAGGGCAGGCUAGGGAGGGCCCUCUGUCCCCUCCAUAUGGUUAGCACCCAUUUCCAUGAGUCCAGUGAAUGAAUAAAUGAAUGUACUUGCUUUGAAGCAUUUUCUCUUCUGCUCAAAUUUCUCUUCUGUGAAAUUUGCAGGAACAAUUUCAAGUAUUAUUGUCUUUCAAUAAUAUACACAAUUUUAUCCUACAUUUUCAUCACAAGGUCUUAAAGUCUUAUUAAGUUUCCCAGGCCAGGCCAAUGAAGAGAUCGAAAGGGUAAAUAGUUACUUCCAACUUAGAAGAAUGUUUAGUUUCUAGAAUAUCCUUAGAAUCCAGCCUUUUUCAAAAGCAAAUACACUUCAGGUUGGAGCUGAGCCUUCAGACAUACUGUUUCUGUUUUCCCCUGUAAAGCUUUGUUUCUUUCAUAACAUUGUAUAACAGGUAGACAGGUUAUGUUAUCUUCAGGAGGAAGGAUCCUAGCCCCGGAAAAGACUUUG